UGAGGAAUAUUGGUCAAUGGGCGGGAGCCUGAACCAGCCAAGCCGCGUGAGGGAAGAAGGCCCUAUGGGUCGUAAACCUCUUUUGUCAGGGAACAGAAGCGAGUAUGUAUACUAGUCCGAGUGUACCUGAAGAAAAAGCAUCGGCUAACUCCGUGCCAGCAGCCGCGGUAAUACGGAGGAUGCGAGCGUUAUCCGGAUUUAUUGGGUUUAAAGGGUGCGUAGGCGGCGGUGCAAGUCAGCGGUAAAAGCCCGGGGCUCAACCCCGGCGAGCCGUUGAAACUGCAGUGCUAGAGAAGGCGAGAGGUACGCGGAAUGCGCAGUGUAGCGGUGAAAUGCUUAGAUAUUGCGCAGAACUCCGAUUGCGAAGGCAGCGUACUGGCGCCUGACUGACGCUGAGGCACGAAAGCGUGGGGAUCGAACAGGAUUAGAUACC
rnacentral:rRNA from 1 species